UUCUCUCAUACACCAAACUCAACCUGUGCAUGCACUGAACAUAAACAUUAACUCCUCUGUGGAGUCUCAUCAUUGCCCCAAAAGGGGGACAUAACAUAUGUUGAGUUGGUUUACAUAAACAUCAUAAAACAUCUAGGAUCAUGUAUUAAAAGGGAUAACAACAUUCUAUGGUCAAGCACAUCUCUAAUAUCCAUGAACAUAUUUACAUUACAUUUCUAUAUUGUACUUAUACAUAACAUCUCAACAUUUUUCAUGUCCACCCUAUUUAUUACAUAACCAAGACUUCAUUACUCUUGCUGACCUCCUGGUCUACCCUGUACCUGCAAACCUGGGGGUUAAGGGAGAGGGGUGAGCUAUAAAGCCCAGUGAGCAGAAUAUUAAAACAUUUAAAACAUAUGGUAAUAUGGAAUGCAUCACAACACAAUCAUAUCACAUCAAGGAUGAAGUUGUCACCAAUAGUCCUCUACAUGGUCCAACUGUGCCAGGGGCGUAGAAUGGGCCUCACUGGUCUUUCUCUUACAUAACAUAGCAUAACAUAACAGUCCAACUGUGCCAGGGGCGUAGAAUGGGCCUCACUGGUCUUCCUCUUACAUGGUGCUAGGGGUGUAGAAUGGGCCUCACUGGUCUUCCGUACCGUAUCAUCAUCAUCAUAACAUACGAGGACUAAAGGAUCAUUCAACGUUCAUCCGCAUCAUCAACAUAUUAUGCAAUGCAACAUAUUCGUGAGUUCUAAUGCAAACACCCUAUUAUAACUCAUGGCAUUCAUGAUGCGUGAAUCAUACUAUAACUGAUUUAUUUAUUUAAAAGCAUAAGAGUGAUUCCACUCACCUCUGGCUAGCUCUGACAGACACGGAAACAGCUGAACUCACUGCUGAGGUCCUCGGUUCCUCGGGUCCGAACCUACACAGGUGGACUCAAAUGAGGGACCAAACAUACAUGAACAUGACUCUGGGAUACUCCCCGAAAACCCCCUAAAAACACCUCAAAACAUUCAUGGAAUACAUGCAAAGGAAGACUGAACAGGGCACUUUCGGGGGCAGGUUUGGCAGCCGAAAGUCCCUCCAGAGCCGAAAGUCAGGCAGGUUCGGCGGCACCUUCGGCGGCCGAAACUCCCAGACAGAGACGAA
rnacentral:lncRNA from 1 species